rnacentral:rRNA from 1 species
UACGAAGGGGGCUAGCGUUGUUCGGAUUUACUGGGCGUAAAGGGCGCGUAGGCGGUGCGAUAAGUCAGGCGUGAAAGCCCCGGGCUCAACCCGGGAAUAGCGCUUGAUACUGUUGCGCUUGAAUCCAGGAGAGGAUGGCGGAAUUCCCAGUGUAGAGGUGAAAUUCGUAGAUAUUGGGAAGAACACCAGUGGCGAAGGCGGCCAUCUGGCCUGGAAUUGACGCUGAGGCGCGAAAGCGUGGGGAGCAAACAGG